rnacentral:tRNA from 10 species
GCCUUUGUAGCUCAGUGGAUAGAGCGAUCCCCUCCUAAGGGAUAGGUCGCAGGUCCGAUUCCUGCCAAGGGCACCA